rnacentral:rRNA from 1 species
AUGAACGCUGGCGGCGUGCUUAACACAUGCCAGUCGAACGGAAAGGCCCAAGCUUGCUUGGGUACUCGAGUGGCGAACGGGUGAGUAACACGUGGGUGAUCUGCCCUGCACUUCGGGAUAAGCCUGGGAAACUGGGUCUAAUACCGGAUAGGACCACAUUUUGGAUGGUGUGGUGGAAAGUUUUUCGGUGUGGGAUGAGCUCGCGGCCUAUCAGCUUGUUGGUGGGGUAAUGGCCUACCAAGGCGUCGACGGGUAGCCGGCCUGAGAGGGUGUACGGCCACAUUGGGACUGAGAUACGGCCCAGACUCCUACGGGAGGCAGCAGUGGGGAAUAUUGCACAAUGGGCGCAAGCCUGAUGCAGCGACGCCGCGUGGGGGAUGACGGCCUUCGGGUUGUAAACUCCUUUCGCUAGGGACGAAGCGCAAGUGACGGUACCUGGAGAAGAAGCACCGGCUAACUACGUG